rnacentral:rRNA from 1 species
UACGGAGGAUUCAAGCGUUAUCCGGAUUUAUUGGGUUUAAAGGGUGCGUAGGCGGCACGGCAAGCCGGCGGUCAAAUCGCGGGGCUCAACCCCGCCCAGCCGUCGGAACUGCCGGGCUAGAGUGGGCGAGAAGUGCGCGGAAUGCGUGGUGUAGCGGUGAAAUGCAUAGAUAUCACGCAGAACUCCGAUUGCGAAGGCAGCGCACCGGCGCCCUACUGACGCUCAGGCACGAAAGCGUGGGUAUCGAACAGG